CACCCCUUGUGGCUCCACCUCCGCCGGGCAGCUGGACCUUGCCCGGGGCCUUCUGAUCUCCGAGCUCCAAUUUCAGCCGGAACUGCGCAGCCCGCCCCUUCCCUGGCAGGAGCACAGCGGAGAACUCUGUUCAGACACUGAGCUACAGACAGACGCUGGGACCCGGGACAACUGAGGCGCCGAUGGCCGUGCCUGGCGAGCCCUGCGUGGGGCAGGAGGUCUGGAACCAGACAGAGCCUGAACCUGCUGCCACCAGUCUGCUGAGCCUGUGCUUCCUGAGAACAGCAGGAGUGUGGGUGCCACCCAUGUACCUCUGGGUCCUCAGCCCCAUCUACCUCCUCUUCAUUCACCGCCAUGGCCGGGGCUACCUCCGGAUGUCCCCACUCUUCAAAGCCAAGAUGGUACCUGCCAUCCCUGGGAGCCUGGAACCAGGCAAUGGUGGGGGAAGCAGGGGACAGGCUGGAACCUGGUGGAGUCCUAAAGUAGACUCCUAUCAGGAUGUAGGAGGGACUCUUGUUAAUCAAACAGAGCAAUAUUAGACAGGCGUCAGAGGUCAACUCAGUGGGACACAGUUUUCCCAAACAGAUUUUGUAAUUCCAAAAAUCCAUGCUUGCACAAACACACACACACAUUCCCAUGUUCCCAGACAGUUGAUAACUACCAUAACCUGGCAUUUUCCAAAAUGUACCAUGUAGACUCUCGGAUCCGCAAGGGAAUUUUCGGACCACAUUAGGAUGAGCCUUUUAAAAGUCAUGCAUUGAUUUUUCUCUUUCCCCACUGGCUGUGUUAUAGAAUAAUUUCAUAAGUGACAGUAUUUACUUGAGUGUGCUGCGUAAGCACUGGCAUUCC